UGGAUAUGCCUUGCUGAAUUG
ensembl:piRNA 21ur-285 ncRNA